rnacentral:rRNA from 1 species
GGCGAGUGAAGUGGGAAAAGCUCAACUUUGAAAUCUGGCACCUUCGGUGUCCGAGUUGUAGUCUCAAGAAAAGUUUUCUGUGCCGGCCCGUGUAUGAGUCUGUUGGAACACAGCGUCAUAGAGGGUGACAACCCCGUUCAUGACACGGAUCCCGGUGCUUUGUGAUACUUUCUCGAAGAGUCGAGUUGUUUGGGAAUGCAGCUCAAAUUGGGUGGUAAAUUCCAUCUAAAGCUAAAUAUUGGCGAGAGACCGAUAGCAAACAAGUACCGUGAGGGAAAGAUGAAAAGCACUUUGGAAAGAGAGUUAACAGUACGUGAAAUUGUUGAAAGGGAAACGAUUGAAGUCAGACGUGCGUGAUGCGGUUCAGCUCUAGUUCGCUAGAGUGUACUCCGUAUCUUUGCAGGCCAACAUCGGUUUUGUUAGUCGGAUAAAGGUUAGAGAAAUGUGGCAUCUUCGGAUGUGUUAUAGUCUCUGACUGAAUACGAUUGAUGGGACCGAGGAACGCAGCGCGCCGCAAGGCAAAGGUUCCGACCUUUUCGCGCUUAGGAUGUUGGUGAAAUGGCUUUAAACGACCCGUCUUGA